UGCAGCCUCGAUUUAACCCUAAACAUGAAGUUUUUUUUUAAUCUAUGUACUUUCCCCGCUGUGGGAUCAAUAAAAGGUUUAAUCUAUAAUCUAUAUCAACAUUGUGUUUCAGGCUGAGAUGUCUCUGAAGCGGCGGCUGCUCUCCAUGUUGUUGUGUUGUGUUUACUGCGUGGCUUCGCUCUUCUGCCUCCAUCCAAACACAAACAACUGCUUCUCAGUCGGAGCUCGGAACCUGGCGUCCGUGUUCCAGCAGAUUUACCAGCGUGUGAUUCGGCUGCUGCGGACGACGCUGUGAUUCCAGCUGACCUCCACCAUGGAAGAAGAAGAAGAACCAGAGGAGGAACCACAGGAGGACAGUGGACCGUGGAGUUUCCAUCCACACUGUAGAUGUUCUCUGACCAGAUGUAGACGAGGACAUCUAAAAAUAUCUAUUUUUCUACAGAUGAAUGCUGACUUUGUGGAUGUUUGCCGUGUGAGAUGUGACUGAGGUGGAACGUCCUCUUCUAACCUUCAUAUAUUCACUGUGAGAACCAAGAACUGAAACACCUUGACCAUAGUUGCGGUGCAGCAGAAUGUUGAAGACGUUCCUCCUGGUUCCUCCUGGAGGAUCCUCAGAUGUUCCUAGGUCAGAUGAGAUAUAAACUCCAGUUGAGGCGUUCUAAUCAGAACCACCUCCACAUGAAGCCAUUCUGCUCCGAUUUCUCGAUGAGCAGCAUCUAAAGCAGGGUUCUCAUGUAGAUAAGAAACAUUUGAGCUGUGGGAAGGAGAACGUUUGGUUCCAGAGAAGUUUUCCAGUCAGAGAGUUGAUCACUUUAUUUCAAACGGAAAGUUGAGGUGAAUGAAUGGAUUUUUAACCUUCUGUCUUAUUUGUUGGGGUGGACAAAUUUACCUUUUUGCACUUUUGUAUGAGAUGAUUGAA